UGCCAGCCGCCGCGGUAAUACGGAGGUUGCAAGCGUUGUUCGGAUUUAUUGGGCGUAAAGGGCGCGCAGGCGGUCUUGUCCGUCAGGUGUGAAAGCUCGGGGCUCAACCCCGGAAGUGCACUUGAAACAGCAAGACUUGAAUACGGUAGAGGAGAGAGGAAUUCCUGGUGUGGAGGUGAAAUUCGUAGAUAUCAGGAGGAACACCGAUGGCGAAGGCAUCUCUCUGGGUCGAUAUUGACGCUGAGGCGCGAAGGCGUGGGUAGCGAGCGGGAUUAGAUA
rnacentral:rRNA from 1 species